rnacentral:rRNA from 1 species
CAAGCGGUGGAGCAUGUGGUUUAAUUCGAAGCAACGCGAAGAACCUUACCAGGUCUUGACAUCCCGCUGCCCGCCUUAGAGAUAAGGCUUUCCCUUCGGGGACAGCGGUGACAGGUGGUGCAUGGUUGUCGUCAGCUCGUGUCGUGAGAUGUUGGGUUAAGUCCCGCAACGAGCGCAACCCUUGAUCUUAGUUGCCAGCAUUCAGUUGGGCACUCUAAGGUGACUGCCGGUGACAAACCGGAGGAAGGUGGGGAUGACGUCAAAUCAUCAUGCCCCUUAUGACCUGGGCUACACACGUGCUACAAUGGACGGUACAAAGGGCAGCCAACCCGCGAGGGGGAGCCAAUCCCAGAAAACCGUUCUCAGUUCGGAUUGCAGGCUGCAACUCGCCUGCAUGAAGCCGGAAUCGCUAGUAAUCGUGGAUCAGCAUGCCACGGUGAAUACGUUCCCGGGCCUUGUACACACC